rnacentral:rRNA from 1 species
GUGUCAGCCGCCGCGGUAAUACGGAGGGUGCGAGCGUUGUUCGGAAUUACUGGGCGUAAAGCGCGUGUAGGCGGCCUUGUAAGUCUGGUGUGAAAGCCCGGGGCUCACCCCCGGAAGUGCAUUGGAUACUGCAAGGCUCGAGUACCGGAGAGGAGGGUGGAAUUCCUGGUGUAGCGGUGAAAUGCGUAGAUAUCAGGAGGAACACCGGUGGCGAAGGCGGCCCUCUGGACGGAUACUGACGCUGAGACGCGAAAGCGUGGGGAGCAAACAGGAUUAGAUACCCCUGUAGUCC